rnacentral:rRNA from 1 species
GUUUGAUCCUGGCUCAGAUUGAACGCUGGCGGAAUGCUUUACACAUGCAAGUCGAACGGCAGCACGGGAGCUUGCUCCUGGUGGCGAGUGGCGAACGGGUGAGUAAUACAUCGGAACGUACCCAGACGUGGGGGAUAACUAACCGAAAGGUUAGCUAAUACCGCAUACGUCCUGAGGGAGAAAGCGGGGGAUCGCAAGACCUCGCGCGUUUGGAGCGGCCGAUGUCUGAUUAGCUAGUUGGUGAGGUAAAGGCUCACCAAGGCGACGAUCAGUAGCAGGUCUGAGAGGAUGAUCUGCCACACUGGAACUGAGACACGGUCCAGACUCCUACGGGAGGCAGCAGUGGGGAAUUUUGGACAAUGGGGGAAACCCUGAUCCAGCCAUUCCGCGUGAGUGAAAAGGCCUUCGGGUUGUAAAGCUCUUUCGGCAGGGAAGAAACGGUUACUCCUAAUACGAGUGGCUAAUGACGGUACCUGAAGAAGAAGCACCGGCUAACUACGUGCCAGCAGCCGCGGUAAUACGUAGGGUGCGAGCGUUAAUCGGAAUUACUGGGCGUAAAGCGUGCGCAGGCGGUUUUGUAAGACAGGUGUGAAAUCCCCGGGCUUAACCUGGGAACUGCGCUUGUGACUGCAAGACUUGAGUAUGGCAGAGGGGGGUAGAAUUCCACGUGUAGCAGUGAAAUGCGUAGAGAUGUGGAGGAAUACCGAUGGCGAAGGCAGCCCCCUGGGUCAAUACUGACGCUCAUGCACGAAAGCGUGGGGAGCAAACAGGAUUAGAUACCCUGGUAGUCCACGCCCUAAACGAUGCCAACUAGGUGUUGGGGAAGGAGACUUCCUUAGUACCGUAGCUAACGCGUGAAGUUGGCCGCCUGGGGAGUACGGUCGCAAGAUUAAAACUCAAAGGAAUUGACGGGGACCCGCACAAGCGGUGGAUGAUGUGGAUUAAUUCGAUGCAACGCGAAAAACCUUACCUACCCUUGACAUGUCAGGAACUUUCCAGAGAUGGAUUGGUGCUCGAAAGAGAGCCUGAACACAGGUGCUGCAUGGCUGUCGUCAGCUCGUGUCGUGAGAUGUUGGGUUAAGUCCCGCAACGAGCGCAACCCUUGUCAUUAAUUGCCAUCAUUUAGUUGGGCACUUUAAUGAGACUGCCGGUGACAAACCGGAGGAAGGUGGGGAUGACGUCAAGUCCUCAUGGCCCUUAU